rnacentral:rRNA from 1 species
UACAGAGGUCCCGAGCGUUGUUCGGAUUCACUGGGCGUAAAGGGUGCGCAGGUGGGCUGGUAAGUUCGAUGUGAAAGCCCCGGGCUUAACCCGGGAAAGGCAUUGGAUACUACUGGUCUGGAGGAUUGGAGGGGGACUGGAAUUCUUGGUGUAGCAGUGAAAUGCGUAGAUAUCAAGAGGAACACCAGUGGCGAAGGCGAGUCCCUGGACAAUACCUGACACUGAGGCACGAAAGCUAGGGGAGCAAACAGG